UGGGGAAUUUUGGACAAUGGGGGCAACCCUGAUCCAGCCAUGCCGCGUGUCUGAAGAAGGCCUUCGGGUUGUAAAGGACUUUUGUCAGGGAGGAAAUCCCUAAGGUUAAUACCCUUGGGGGAUGACAGUACCUGAAGAAUAAGCACCGGCUAACUACGUGCCAGCAGCCGCGGUAAUACGUAGGGUGCAAGCGUUAAUCGGAAUUACUGGGCGUAAAGCGUGCGCAGGCGGUUUGAAAAGUCAGCUGUGAAAGCCCCGGGCUCAACCUGGGAACUGCGGUUGAAACUCUCAAGCUGGAGUGCGUGAGAGGGGGGUGGAAUUCCACGUGUAGCAGUGAAAUGCGUAGAGAUGUGGAGGAACACCAAUGGCGAAGGCAGCCCCCUGGGAUGACACUGACGCUCAUGCACGAAAGCGUGGGGAGCAAACA
rnacentral:rRNA from 1 species